UUGAAGCAGUUGCAUCAACCACAGUGGAAAGCAGUUGCAUCUAUCAUCAUUUGCAUAUGUGAAUCUUGUGUAUCAUCAAAAUUAAAGUUACUAUCACAAGUUUGUUGUGUAAAGAUAGUUCAUUAAACCAUUGUGAUUCUUGUUUGCUGUUUGCUGUUUGGUGCAGUAGUAAGAACAAUGAUAAACAGCAGCUGUGUUGUGUUGGUGUAGAGAAGAAGAAAGCAGCAGCAUUGUUCUUUAAACAUCUUGAAGCUGCAUUUUCACAUUGUUUCUUUGCAUGAUUGAUUCGUAGAUGAUUGACAGCAACAGGCUGCAGCAAAACAUUUUAAAACAGAUAGAUCUUGCUGUUUUAAAACUGUUUUGACAGUAAUAAGAAGACAGCAACAGCAGCAACUGCAUUGCGACAGCUACAACAUAAACAACUUUGCUGUUUUAAAACUGUCUAACAGCAGUAACUUCAAAACAGAACAGCAGAAACUAGCAUUAACAGUCUUAGCAAUAACAGCUGUUUUUGUGCAGUAACAGCUGUUUACAGAUCUUGACAGCAGCAGACUUGGUUGUUUAAGCAAUAACAAGAACAACAGUAGCAACAGAUUGCAAGUCUUAGCAACAGAUUUGAAACAGCAGCAUGUUGAUCCAAUACAGUGCUCACAACAGUCUGUGCAGAUUGAAGAAGCAGCAACAUUGCAGCACGUUUGGAAUUUCAAGUUGAGAUCACAGACUUGCAGGUUUACAACAUAACAGCAGACUGCCGGAAUCUGUUAAAAUCUGUUGGUGUGAAGACUGCAGUAGACAGCAGAAAAGAAAGAAGCAGUAGUACUUCAAAGUACACUUUGAAAGUUUUUCAAGCAUAGCUAGGAUUGGUUUUGGAUAGUUUAACAGAUUUGAAAGACUGUUGAUUUGGUUUUGCUUUCGGGGACUAAGUUCACCUUUACAGAAGCACACAGCAUUCAAGUGGAUUUUUGAAUACACUUCAGAGAGCAGAUAGAUCAUUUUUUUUAGUGUAAUAUCUGUAUUGUAUUUGGGCUUGGAUUGGUGUCAUUUGGACUUAGACUCAUAAUUUUGGACUUGAAUUUU